UAAUUUAGAACCAAGAAGACGUUAUUUAUUUACAUCAAGCAUAUAAAUUCCCUAAAAUUUUCAAAAGGGCCCAACCUGUGCUGUUUAGCUGACUCACUGUGCACGGUCAGUGAGGCGCUGCGAGAUGGACACUCCGCCAAUAACUCCCACCAAGCGCUCCCAUACCGAACCCACACAAAUCCGGAUCCUCUGCCCGUCAUUAAAAACCGGCGCCGUCAUCGGCAAAGGGGGCUCCACCGUCCGUCAUAUCCAAUCUCUCACCGGCGCCAAAAUACGCCUCCUUGACGACCCUCACAUUCCCUAUUGUGAAGACCGCAUAAUCCUCAUUACCCUGAACAGUGGCAAAGUCCCCAAAUCAGACGACUCCAACACCGCCACCUCCGAUCACAACAAAGAAGAUGCCAAUGACGGAGAGUGCAGUUCUGGUGGUGGUGGUGGUGGUGGUGAAGAGGAGGGGUGGGGUCCAGUGAAGAAAGCCGUGGUUAGGGUUUUUGAGAAGAUAGUGAAAGGGGAUAGUGAGGAGGAGUUGAGCGAAGCUGUUGUGGUGACGUGUAAGGUUCUGAUUGGUAGUGGUGGUAGUAAUCAGGGAGGGAGUUUCUCAAAGGUUUUGGAGAAAAUUAGAGUGGAGAGUGGAGCACAAGUUAGGGUUUCGAAUCGCGAGCAAAUUCCUGCUUGUGCUUCUCCUGGUGAUGAAUUGCUUCUGAUUACUGGAAGUUUUUCAGCCGUUAAGAAAGCACUCUUGUCUGUUUCGAGUUUUAUUCAAGAUAGCCCGAGAGCAGAAACUGCCAAUUUUGGUGCAGCGGGAUUCCAUGGAAAUGCUAUGCCUGCGCAAGGUGACUUGCAUCAGUGGGGUUAUGGACCUGGUAAUCAUGCUGCAGACUAUCAUCCAAGAGGGUAUUCUCCUAAUUUUGAAGAGGACGUUGUAUUUAGGCUGUUAUGCCAGGCUGAUAAGGUUGGCAGUUUGAUAGGGAAAGGUGGCUCUGUAGUACGGGCUUUGCAAAAUGAGACGGGUGCAUCUAUCAAAAUUGCUGAAGGUGUAUCUGAUUCAGAUGAACGUGUGGUUGUCAUAUCUGCAAGAGAGAAUUCAGAACAAAGACAUUCUCCUGCUCAGGAUGCUGUUAUUCGUGUGCAAUCCAGAAUUGCAGAGAUUGGAUUUGAGCGUGGUGCCAGAAUUGUUGCCCGGCUUCUUGUGCAUCCACAACAGAUAGGUGUUUUGUUGGGUAAAGGAGGCAAGAUCAUAAAUGAAAUGAGACAUGUUACUGGUGCUAGUAUAUGCAUAUUUCCAAAGGAGCAAGCUUCAAAGUAUGGUUCUCAAACUGAAGAAGUAGUUCAGGUUCUUGGCAGCUUGCAAGCUGUACGGGAUGCUUUAUUUCAAAUAACAAGCAGACUUCGGGACACUAUAUUUCCAGUGAAGCCACCAUUCUCAAACACUGCUCCGUUGCCCUAUCCACCACCCCCAUUUCCAGAAAUGCACCCCCCUCAGUUUAGGCCAAGACCUAAUCCUACCUCUCCAGGUCCUUACCCUUCUCCUGUUGGACCUUUCCAAGGCAUGGAUCGUUCUGCUAUUCCCUCCCACCCCUUAGAUCACCAGCCUCCAUUUUCAUAUGGUAUGGAUCGCAGUGGUCCACCAAAUUUGGACCGAGCUCCUUAUUCAUAUGGUAGUGAUAGACCAGGACAUGGUCCUCCAUUUGAAAGUUCUCCAAGAUCAUGGACCACUCAGCCAUUUAGCAAUGGGAACCUUAGGGGAGGUGCUGAUCUAGGUUCUGGCUCGGUUGCAAGAAAUGGGCAUCCCUCAAGUGAGGUGAAGCAGCCAAGUGGCACAAACACUUGUAGAGCCUUGUGAUUAAAAGUCAUUAAAAAACAUGGCUAGGGAGGAAGCAUUUUUCUGACUCAUGUGAUUAUCUGCAAAUUCAUAAAGUUGCCAUAUGUUUUUGCAUUGUCAGUGGAAGUCUAGCACCGAGCAUGGCUAGCACAUCUGUUGAGGUUCUCAUUCCUCAAAAACUGCUGACUCAUGUAUAUGGAGAGAGUAAUAGUAAUUUGACUCAGAUCAGACAGAUUUCAGGUGCAAAUGUUCUCAUUCACGACCCAAAGCCCGGGGCAACCGAAGGUGUGGUGGUAGUGUCUGGAACAUCAGAUCAAAUGCGUGCUGCACAGAGCCUAAUCCAUGCCUUUAUUCUUUAUGGACAGACAACUCAUUGACCAUCUACUUAGGCAAGUGGUGAUUUGUAUAAAACUAGGCAAGAGAUGUGCAUUUGAUUUUCGAGAAAAACAGUAUGUAUAUACCAUGCUUUAGUUGUA